AAGCUGCAACUAUUCUACCAUGCCUGCAAUGUGAUGCCAUGUAUGAAAUAAUCAUCAUGCAACAGUGUACUAUCAUGCUAGUAUGAUGUCAAGAGUAUAUAUAUGUAACAUAGCAAUGCAAUCUACAACAUACACUAUGUUUACUUAAGGUAAGAAUGCAAUUCUACUAUGCUAUUCAUGUUCAUUACCCAAUUUACCUGGCUGACCCGUAGGUUAAGCCCUCAACUCACUUUCAAUCUCAUUGGUGAGGAGAAGCUGCACUCGCACACCGAGACCGUCUGCGGGACAACUACGUCUACCCCUGUGUGAAGUACUCCGGAGACCACUGCUUUGGUGGAGCGACCACCGACAAGCGAAACAGACUAGUGAGUAUGAUCCAAUCCUCACAAGAGGAUACCCUAUCUACUAGGGUCAUAGUGCCUCUGCUGCACAAUCACAAUGCAUAAUCAAAUGCCGGGACUUCUACCAUCCCUAAGUUCAUGUCAUAUUUACUACACUAGACUCGAUGCCACUCGUUCGAUCAUUUGUAGUAAGUUUUCUAACUAGUUGACAUGCCACUCGUUCAUGUUUAGUGUUUCUACUACACUAGUUCAAUGCCACUCAUCUAGGCUAUACAUGUCUAAGUUCAUCUCAUUGUGCCACUAUAGGAUUCCAUGUCACAAGACCCAAUCCUCAUGCGUCCCUAGUCCAUGUGUCAAGCCCUCGAUGCUACACUACUAAGAAAGCAUGCAAGAAAUUAGAAUUGCAACUAUCUACUAUCCUAUAAUGCAUAAUAUCCAUAUAUGAUCAAUAUAAAGAACUUAGACAUAAAAAGAAGCUCGGUUGCUUCGGGAUGGACACCCCCCACCUUUUGGUGAUGUCUUGAAGCUACGAAUCCGUUUCUGAGAUUUUAGAAAGCUUACGCCGCAAGCUGCGGCAAUCUGUACCUCUACGGCUUAUUUCCUCAAUAUCUUCACGUACGCUCGUCGUUUCGCCGAACCGAGCACACCAACGCGUCAGAAUACCUACCAAUUAGGUUAGAGAAAGGUCAAUCAAGAUCAAAACCCUCCAUGAACAAAAGCCUUUUUUUGGAUGCCCUAGAAGCCCCAAUAUUGCAAUAGCUCUAUUCUAACAUUUAUUCUUGCAAUUAGUGAGUUCCAUUACUUCUAGAGGUCUAUUAAAGUCCAUCUAGCUAGGUUCUAAGAGAUCAAAGCAAACCCUAAGCUACUUGCCAUGAGAGAGGGUUGAAGCUUACCUCUACUAGCUAGACCAAAGAGAGGAAGAAGAGGUGAGGAAGAUGGUAGCUCUCCUCCUGAUCUCUUUCUCCUCCUCCUUCUUCUUCUUCUUCUUCUCCUCCUCCUCCUCCUCCUCCUAGAGAGAGAAAGAGAGGUGUGUGUGUAUGGGAGUGUUGGAGAGAAUGAGAAAAAAAGAGAGGGGAAAUGCCCACUUAACCCCUCUCAUGCUACAAUAGCAUAUAAGCCCCUCCACUUUGCCUCUUGUGCACUGCCCAGACUGGGCAGAUUUCGCAUGCGGGGACCAGUCCCUCUACAGGAGGACCGGUCCCCGAGAGCAGCCUCACAUGCAGAGCCCUCUGUCAGCCUCUCCACGCGCACAGGGACCGUUCCCUUGCUGAGAGACCGGUCCUCGAGGGUCCGGUCCCCUGCCAAGAGACCGGUCCCCGAGAGCACAAUUCUGCGCAGAGGCCUCCUGCCUCUUCUCCACGCGUACGGAGACCGGUCUCUCCCGCCAGGGACCGAUCCCCAAGAGCAAAAAAUGGCAGGGCAGCCUUUUGCUGCCCUCCAUACCUACGGGGUCCAGUCCCUCACCACAGGGACCGGUCCCCGAGAGCUAAAAACUGCAGUCUUGCAGAUUUUCUCCCAGCUUGCUCUCGUGACCCCUCCUCAAUGCACUCUUCGUAUUUCCGACAUCUUCAGCCUUUCCGAAGCGUAUUAACACGACCCAUGGUCGAUUUUAAACGAAGUCCAACUCUCGUAUUUCGAGAAUUCACUUCCUUACAAUUGGGGCGUCACAAACUCCCCCCGUUUAGGCCCUGACGUCCUCGUCAGCCCUAAACAUACACACAGCCCAAAAUAUACACACAGCCCAAAAUCACGAGGUGAUGUGAGACUUGUCUCGCUGAC
rnacentral:lncRNA from 1 species